CCCAGAUUUCCAGCCUGUUGUGAGAGAUCGGGUCAUGAAUAGGACCUUCAUCAUCAUCAGUCCACAUUUCUCCAAUUUCACGACAAACGACUUUGAAAUUUGGUUCCAAGUGAAACUGAUUACCAUCCUUCCAAGUUUUACUCCAGAAAUGCUCAAAAAUACAACCACAAACAUCAGCUGCACAAACUACCAAGUCAUUGUGAGUGGGAUGGCUUCAGUUAUCCAGGAGAUGCCACUGUACAGACGACAAGAGAUCACACAUGUUCUGCUGGGCUACCUAAGAAGUACUGAAAAUGCCAUCAAUGAGACAGCUUGCAGGCAACAAAAUGACAGUGAUGCCCAAU